rnacentral:misc_RNA from 1 species
GAUGAAGAACGUAGCGAAAUGCGAUACGUAGUGUGAAUUGCAGAAUUCAGUGAAUCAUCGAAUCUUUGAACGCACAUUGCACCUCUCGGUAUUCCGGGAGGUAUGCCUGUUCGAGCGUCAUUUGUACCCUCAAGCUCUGCUUGGUGUUGGGUGUUUGUUCCGCCUCUGUGUGUGAACUCGCCUCAAAACAAUUGGCAGCCGGCGUACUUGUUUCGGAGCGCAGCACAUUUUGCGAUCCAGAUCAACGUACAGCGGCAUCCAAGAAGCCUUAUUUAACGCUCUUGACCUCGGAUCAGGUAGGGAUACCCGCUGAACUUAAGCAUAUCGAUAAGCGGAGGA